CCCCGGUCCCGGCCCUUUUCCCUUUUCCCUUUUCCCUUCCCGCUCGGCUCCGAGCAGCGCCGAGGCUGCUGCUCUCCUCCGCGCGGCGCUGGAGGCCAGGAACGCUUCCCUGUGAGCGCGGUGCCCUGCAGGUUCCUCUGUCAGAGCAGAGCUUUGUAUUCCUGAGAGGGAGCCCUGACGCACCCGCCCCCCCACACACGCAGAGCCGGGAGUGCGGAGGUUCGGGGCGGCCGCUCGCUGCUGCGGGGCCGGUGGCGCAGCGAGUGACCCGGUUUGUGAGGCGAAGCCUCGCACGGAGAUUGACGGGCUGAGUGGUUAUUGAGGAAAUCCAUAGCAUUUCUUUCUGUCUCAUCAGCAUCCCCCGCCAGCCCCGGCUGUGCGUGCACUCACGCAAGAUGAGUACAGAGUAAGGAAUUGCUUCUGUCUGGCUGCAAGAACGGUGAAGCAGCGAGGAACCGUGAGACCCCUCCCUCACACAAGCAAGGGGUAAAUGGUCGCAGCUGUGCAAAAUGGAGAGGGCUGCUUGCUGCUUGCUGCCUGGUGCCGUCCCUACUCCCACCGCAUUUCAGGGAUAACAUAAUCAGGGUGAGAAAAGCUUUCUGAAAACACUACAGCUGCUGAGAAUGGAAGCUGUUCUGAAGUGCUAAGAAAAGAAAGUCACUAAAGAUGGAGUCCACCUGGUUUCCUUGUGAUUCUGACAGACUGAAGACUGUAUCCCCUCAAAAAGCAGGUGGGGCAAUAUGGAGCAUUUACACCAAAACUGAAGUUUUUAAACCACAUAGAAGACAGUGGAAAGAAGCCUAAGUUCCUACCAGAAGAACACAGCAAAGGAACAGGGUCUGUCCUUGCCUGAAGGAGGGAUACAGGAUCUGGCACACAGUCAUGGCCUGGGGGGCAGAACAGCAGAUGGAUCACCUUGGCUGUGUGGCAGUUGCCUUGUCCUUGCUUACAGCAAGAGCCUUGUGGUGCAAGGAUAGAAUGUUCCUGUCAAUCCAGCAAAUGUUCCAGGGUGUCCUCCAUUUAAUUAGGCCUAGGAACACUAUUUUCCCCAACAUCCAUAAAUGACUUAUUCCCAUGAA